rnacentral:lncRNA from 1 species
CACAAUUGUAGAGCUCUUGAUUGGUUCAUUGUCCUUCGGAGGGGGCGGGGGAGCGAGGGCCGGGGAAACUAGUUUGUUUGCAGCGCCCUCGCUACAUUGUAUCCAGAGUGCGGGUUCUUAGGGUGGGCGAGGGGGAGGGGCAGAAGGGAGGCAAGGGAGAAGCCGGAGGGAGGAGGCGGCAACAUGAGCAUCGUCCUAAUAAACGGAGGUCAAUAAUAGAGAAGAGCAGUUGCAAGGACCUGGGGCAGGAGAUCAGCCGGCCAAGGAGUGUCCCUGAAAUCUCCCUGCAAGGUAUCUGGAAAGGAAGAGAGAUGGACAGUUGGUCAUCUCGCUGGGAGAGAAAGGUUCCACUUAGUCCUCCAGCUUCCAAGCCCUCCCUCCUGCCCCUCACUGCUCCCAAAGACUGCAUCCAUUUCUGAGGCAAGUCACUGGGGAUGGAAGAGGAAGAGGAGGGUCUUAACCAUCCCUGACACAUACUCCCCCUCACCCCUCUCCCAGUAGAUGCUGGAUUGAUUUUUGUUCUUGCAAUUGGUUUUGAAGAUCUUGGACCAAAAUGCAUGGUGGGAUGGAUUGGAUUUGGAAUCUGGACACUUAGAUAAAAAUUUUCUCUCUGAUUAGGCAUAUUACCUAACUAGAGUCUCGAUUUCUUAAUCUGUAAUAAGUUUUCUAAUAAUAUUUACUGAUUGGGGGCAGCUGGGUAGCUCAGUGGAUUGAGAGCUAGCCCUAGAGACGGGAGGUCCUAGGUUCAAAUCUGGCCUCAGACACUUCCCAGCUGUGUGACCCUGGGCAAGUCACUUGAUCCCCAUUGCCUAGCCCUUACCACUCUUCUGCCUUGGAGCCAAUACACAGUAUUGACUCCAAGAUGGAAGGUAAGGGUUUAAAAAAAAAUACUUACUGAUCUUAAAGUGAUAUUUGAAUGGCAUUGUCCAUCAUACCUGGAGCUAUGUAGGAACCUAACUGGCACCCAUUUAUAUUGGAAAGAGGGAGAGACAAAAGCUGAGUGCCCACUGAUCCAGUGUCCUCUCAUUUCCUUAUCAUUCGAUGAGUGUAAUGGUUCAAAAAUCCCUGCUCAAAGACAUCCCUGGCUAAUGUGGGAAGGCUUUAGUUGCCUUGAGAAAAUGUAUGCUCAAAUGAAUUGGUUAAUUGAGAUUCUGGUUUUCAUGUAAUUUGGCAAAUUCAAUAAUUGAAUUAUCUCAGCCACAGUCAAUGUUGCUUAAAUCUUCCCUGCUGGAGUGAAUGCCUGCUAGGAAGCAUUUAUUGGCAACAAGCUACAUCCACCACCCCUCCCUACUUGACCUUUAACCAACAUAUUAUCAAUGAGUCUUUGCUUAUCAACUUUAUAUCCCCCAAAGUGGCUGUUAGGGUUACUCAGGCAAGCAAAAUUCCUCCUCAGAAAGACUGAGCAGGUUGCUUUUCUUGAUUCAAGGAUUCAGUGCCAUCCCAACACCAAGGGCAGAGAGCUGGCUAUAGAACAACUUGGUAGGCAUUUAGUUUAAAGCUAUACUAUUCCCUGGAGCUAACUCUUCAUCCCAGAAGCCAAAGAUAAGACAGGCAGCUUGGAAAGUGGCGCUGCUGUGUUUACUAGUUCUUAGUGGAAUGGGCAAUGGUUGGCAUCCCUAUUCUUGAGACUAACUGGAACAGUUUCUGAUUUCGUAGUCUCCUGGCAGUCCCCUUCUGACUUGUCUGUUUCCUAAUUCUACUUUCCAAGCUACAUACAUCCUUAUUUCCUUCCCCCUCUCCAUUCAUUCUCCAUUUCUUUCUGAGAAAGCAAGCUGUAUUUGGAGUCAAAGGACCAGGUUUAAAUACUUAUUCCACUUCUUAAUAACUGUAACCUUUGGGCAAAGUACUUCCUUUCUUUGGUUCUUAGUUUUCCUCAUCUGUAAAAGGAGGGGGUUGGACGACAUGAUUUAUACAGACCUUUCUAGCUCUACCAUUCUUUAAUUCAAAGAGAAGAUGUGGUCUAUUUUUUAAAAAUUAAAUUUUAAAUUAAAAAAAGAAAAUCAUGGAUUUUGGUAUCAGAUGGCCUGGGUUCAGGUUCUGACUCUCUGUUCACUCUGAUCUUGGGCAAUUCAAUGAUCCUCAGUUUCCUUCAAAUGAGGAUAAUGCUUGCAUUACUUAACCUCACAGCAUAGUUUUAGGGAUCAAAUUAGAUUACAUAUAUCAAUUGUAAAUAGGAGUGAAGCAUGAUAUCAUUUUGGACUGUCAUUAUGUUGAGGAUAAUGAUAUUCUUUGAAUAGCCCUCAAAUUACUUCCUUCAGUCCAGAUUGGAUAAGCCAAUGGUGGAGUUGGAAUGGGGGCGGCGGAAUACUUAGUCCUGGAGACUGUGGGUUCCAUUAAGACAGAUGGAAGCUUUCUCAAUAACUUCAAGGAAAUAAACCUUUCCCAACUGGAGCUCCUUGUUCCCUC